rnacentral:lncRNA from 10 species
AAACCGCUGCACGCCUCUGACGCGACAUCUGGACACGGCGCGGCGCUGGCGCUGCCGGAGCUGUCGACCCGGCCUGGCGCCGGACUAGUGUCCCUUUUGAUGAGAAGAAUAAGCCUCAUUCUGAUUCAACAGCAGAGAUCAAAGAAAAGACUUCUGUUUUCUGGCCACCAGAUAUAUGUUAUCUGUGCUUAAAGAAUUGAAAAACACACAUCAAAGGAGAAUUUUCUUGGAAAGAGAGGGUUCAAGCAUCACUGUUAGGUGUGCUGGAAUCCUUUCCCGAGUCAGUACUGCUUUCUAGAAGAAAACCGGGGAGAUCUAUUUGGAAUGUAUCUAACUCCAAAGAAACCAUCAGAGGUAACAGUAGAGACGGGGUUUCACCAUGUUGGCCAGACUGGUCUUGAACUCUCGACCUCGUGAUUCGCCCGCCUCGGCCUCCCAAAGUGCUGGGAUUACAGGUGUGAGACACCACACCCGGCGGAUAGAGAGAAUUUUGACAGAUAUGACACAUUCAUAAUUUAAACAGAAGCCUACGAAGAACUCAUAAAUUAAAAGAAGAUAAUCUUUUCACAAGGUGAUGGAGGCUUUUUAUUUUGCCACAAAACCACUGGUGACGUUGCCUGUGGCCACCUUGGAGAAGACACUGGAGGAUGAUUACGGAGCUAGGAAUUUCCUACGAAGCUGGGUGAUAAAAGGACAUUGGACAAAAACACAGAUAGCUUCAUU